UAGUUGUAGAGAUGUAGAUGUCAAAAAUAUAGGCUAGGUAAAUAGAUAAAAUCAAUUCCCAUGAUAUAUUUUUAAUAUUAUUAUUUUGCUUUCUAUUAAACACACUAAUUACAUAAAGAGCGGAAUCGUACGCGAUAUACCUGGCAACCAAUCAUUUAAACCGUCAGCCUGCACUCAUUUUCCAAUUCAUUUUCUGAGCCUUUGAGGAUGAACAAGACCAACGAGAACCAGUCAGGUUCUCCCUCGAAAUCGGGUCUCUGUUAGGACACCAAGAGAUCUCAAAUUAAUUGUAAUAGGUAAAAAUCAUUGGUGAAGUCACCAGAUGUGGAUGGCGUGUAUGUUGUUCGACAUUGCAGCGUGCUGAUGAGUUAAUAAAGAGGCAGCAAAAACCUGGGAUUUGCAUUGGCCCUGUCAAGUCUGGAGAGUGUUUUCACCAUUUAAUGAAUUAAAUUGUAAUAAAAGUUUUUAAAUGGA